rnacentral:tRNA from 1 species
GGGGAUUUAGCUUAGUGGUAGAGCACUUGCCUAGCAAGCACAAGGCCCUGGGUUCGAUUCCCAGCUUCU